AACGUAGGACACAAGCGUUAUCCGGAAUUACUGGGCGUAAAGCGCGCGUAGGCGGCCUGUUAAGUCAUGGGUGAAAGCGCUGGGCUAAACCCGGCGAGGGCCUGUGAGACUGGGGGGCUAGGGUGGCGGAGAGGCAGGCGGAAUUCCGGGUGUAGUGGUGAAAUGCGUAGAGAUCCGGAGGAACACCAGAGGCGAAGGCGGCCUGCUGGUCGCAGACCGACGCUGAGGCGCGAAGGCAUGGGGAGCGAACGGG
rnacentral:rRNA from 1 species